rnacentral:rRNA from 1 species
UGCAGUCGAGCGGUAAGGCCCUUCGGGGUACACGAGCGGCGAACGGGUGAGUAACACGUGGGUGAUCUGCCCUGCACUUCGGGAUAAGCCUGGGAAACUGGGUCUAAUACCGGAUAUGACCUUCGGCUGCAUGGCUGAGGGUGGAAAGGUUUACUGGUGCAGGAUGGGCCCGCGGCCUAUCAGCUUGUUGGUGGGGUAAUGGCCUACCAAGGCGACGACGGGUAGCCGACCUGAGAGGGUGACCGGCCACACUGGGACUGAGACACGGCCCAGACUCCUACGGGAGGCAGCAGUGGGGAAUAUUGCACAAUGGGCGAAAGCCUGAUGCAGCGACGCCGCGUGAGGGAUGACGGCCUUCGGGUUGUAAACCUCUUUCAGCAGGGACGAAGCGAAAGUGACGGUACCUGCAGAAGAAGCACCGGCUAACUACGUGCCAGCAGCCGCGGUAAUACGUAGGGUGCAAGCGUUGUCCGGAAUUACUGGGCGUAAAGAGUUCGUAGGCGGUUUGUCGCGUCGUUUGUGAAAACUCACAGCUCAACUGUGAGCCUGCAGGCGAUACGGGCAGACUUGAGUACUGCAGGGGAGACUGGAAUUCCUGGUGUAGCGGUGAAAUGCGCAGAUAUCAGGAGGAACACCGGUGGCGAAGGCGGGUCUCUGGGCAGUAACUGACGCUGAGGAACGAAAGCGUGGGUAGC